UGGGGAAUAUUGCGCAAUGGGGGAAACCCUGACGCAGCGACGCCGCGUGCGGGAUGAAGGCCUUCGGGUUGUAAACCGCUUUUGAUUGGGAGCAAGCUUUCGGGUGAGUGUACCUUUCGAAUAAGCGCCGGCUAACUACGUGCCAGCAGCCGCGGUAAUACGUAGGGCGCAAGCGUUAUCCGGAAUUAUUGGGCGUAAAGCGAGCGCAGGCGGUCAAUUAAGUCUGAUGUGAAAGCCCCCGGCUCAACCGGGGAGGGUCAUUGGAAACUGGUUGACUUGAGUGCAGAAGAGGAGAGUGGAAUUCCAUGUGUAGCGGUGAAAUGCGUAGAUAUAUGGAGGAACACCAGUGGCGAAGGCGACUCUCUGGUCUGUAACUGACGCUGAGGUUCGAAAGCGUGGGUAGCAAACAGG
rnacentral:rRNA from 1 species